rnacentral:rRNA from 1 species
CUAGUAACUGCGAGUGAAGCGGGAAAAGCUCAAAUUUGUAAUCUGGCGGCCUUCGGUCGUCCGAGUUGUAAUCUAGAGAAGUGCUUUCCGCGCUGGACCGUGUACAAGUCUCCUGGAACGGAGCGUCGUAGAGGGUGAGAAUCCCGUCUUUGACACGGACUACCAGUGCUCUGUGAUGCGCUCUCGAAGAGUCGAGUUGUUUGGGAAUGCAGCUCAAAAUGGGAGGUGAAUUCCUUCUAAAGCUAAAUAUUGGCGAGAGACCGAUAGCGAACAAGUACCGUGAGGGAAAGAUGAAAAGCACUUUGGAAAGAGAGUUAAACAGUACGUGAAAUUGUUGAAAGGGAAACGCUUGAAGUCAGUCGCGUCCGCCGAGACUCAGCCUUGCCUCCCGGCUUGGUGUACUUCUCGGUGGACGGGCCAGCAUCAAUUUUGACCGCCGGACAAGGGCGGGGGGAAGGUGGCACCCUCGGGUGUGUUAUAGCCCCUCGUCGCAUACGGCGGUCGGGAUUGAGGAACUCAGCACGCCUUUAUGGUCGGGGUUCGCCCACGUUCGUGCUUAGGAUGCUGGCGUAAUGGCUUUAAACGACCCGUCUUGAAACACGGACCAAGGAGUCUAACAUGCCCGCGAGUGUUCGGGUGGAAAACCCGUGCGCGUAAUGAAAGUGAAAGUUGGGACCCCUGUCGUGGGGGGCACCGACGCCCGGACCAGACCUUCUGUGACGGAUCUGCGGUAGAGCGUGUAUGUUGGGACCCGAAAGAUGGUGAACUAUGCCUGAAUAGGGUGAAGCCAGAGGAAACUCUGGUGGAGGCUCGUAGCGAUUCUGACGUGCAAAUCGAUCGUCAGAUUUGGGUAUAGGGGCGAAAGACUAAUCGAACCAUUCAUUAAGGCUACUCGG